UUAAACACAGACUAUAAAUUUUACUACAUACUUCUGUAGAAGCGUGUAAAGAGGAGAGCUGACACAGAUGUAGCCUCGAGCAAGAUUGCGUUCAUACCUGUAUGCGUGGAUUAUCUGUGUACAGUUCAGUUUGAUUAUGAACCUUCAGUAAGAAGUGGAUUCCCAGUCAAUAUGCAUAUGUCAUUUUUUAAAAAAAGUCUUCAUUUAACUUUUGAAGAUGUUGUUCACUUUCCAGCAACUUUCUUGUUUAGUUAGGGGUUGGUAAAACCGCAGCUCUGUGAAGUGGAAUUCUAUGCAAGAGAUGUUUGCAUCUGAAACUUUGAAGGCUUGUGAAAUUUCAUCUGAUUUUCCAACCGGAACCCCUGGACAAAAUAAAUAAAGUGGCACUCUGCAGUGCUAUGAUCUUCUCAGUGGGCCUUUUCUCUUACGACGAUUGCCCCCUACUGCUAACUCAGAUUCAGUCAAACGAAGACGAUCGGAGAUGCUUUCCAUAUUCUGCAAGAGGGGCAAGGAUCCGACUAAGCAGUACGCAGCAGAGCCCACCAGCAGCAACCCCACAACCCCAUCGCUCGUCAGACUGGCUGAAGGGUUAGGCUCCACAGCUUCUGUCCAGUGGGACCCAAUCAGCAGUGUCAGCACCUAUGGAAGCCCCAACAUCGAUCGGUGGGAGAAGAAGAGCACAGCAGUCUAAAGUGCAUGCUUCUGUGACUCCAAGACAGGAGCGUUGGGUGUGUGGUUUCAUUUUUCCCUCAAAUACUGGCAAAAUUAUCAUUCUCCUGGACAACAUUUGGACAAUUUUGCCAUUUGAUCAGCAUAAGGCCAGGCCGAAAGGAUCCAAACAUUGUCUAUUAUUAGGAGCAUACUGAAAAAGAAUGGAUUUGAUCUGAAAUCCUGGAUGAGUACCUUUCAAUAAAACCAGAAUUAUCCCAAUGGGACAGUAGGAUACGCGGUUUGGAAAAUGGAUGGAUGGAUCCCAAUGGAUCCCAAUCUAAUUUAUGAAAUAUAAUGAAAGGCCACUUCGGAACAGAAAUUGACUUUAAAGGAGCAUGUUGGCAGCACCUAUGUGGACAAACGCAUUAUUUUCCAACCCAGUCCUCAGGGACCCCCAAACAGUCCAUGUAUUUGCUCCCUCCCAGCUCCCAGGUUGGGAAGCACCUGACAAAAGGUCUGCUUUGCUUUGCUCCUAUCUAGGACAUUAGUGACGUUCAGCAUGUUCCCCUCCUCAUUAAAGCACUAAGCCUAUUAGGUGGCUGUUUAGCCCUCCAACAUCUUCUAAAAAGCUGGCGCCAAUCUUCUACAGACGGACAGGCUGUUAAGAAGACAACAGUGAUUGUGCACCUGCUAAAAAGUGCAUGCAUGCACACAGUAUUCGUAACAACAAGCAAUAAUGACAAUAGGAAUGCCUUUGUAUUUAAACAAUGGCUGGUUGGUGUUGGUUAUACUGGUUUGCAUUUAAUGCUGUAUUUAUAGAGGUAAAUAUAUUCGGCAGCAAAUUUAGCUGAGGCUUUUUCAGUUUUUAAUUGCAAGGAAUGCUGCGACAGUCCUUUUACACGUAUAAUUAGUGACAAAAUGUAAGCAACUGUGUCUGGUAAAGACUGAUAUAUUCAGUCUGAAUUUAAAACAAAGCUUAUCCAUUUAUACAUUUAUACAUAUAUUGAUGUCAUGAUUCAGCAUUUCAAAUUUCACUGCACAUCAGUAAUGAUGCAACACCUUUGUUUCGUGCCAAAAGUAAUUAUAUGAAGUGUCUGAAGCUCUGUUAAGGGUUUAAUGGUUUGUCAAAUGUACUGAGGGAAAAAACGACUGUCUUGAGUUUAAGACUGCCAGUAAGUUUAAAUCCCAGUUUCAAAAACCUUUCUGUUUCUUUCCUGUAGUCUAUUCCAAAAGAAUUUCAGUUUCUUUUUUCACCGGGAGGACUACAACUGGGUUUAUGGUGCUUUGGCGCCCUCUUAUGGAAGUUUGUGUGUGUCGUCAAAAUAUGUGCAUUGACAUUGAUAUAAAGAACUAAGGGAAAACAGAACAUUAUAAAAUAAAUAAAUACAUGUAUGUCUAUUCAUUUUGCAUUAUAUACAGCUCUGGGAAAAAUAAGAGACUACUCUAUAUUUUAAAAAAAAUCUGUAUUUAAUGUUAAGUAGAGUGAAGUGCACUGCUAGGAUAAUUCAUAACAGCCUCCUAGAAGCAGGGCUGAAGACCCCUAUAGCAAGGAAGAAGCCCUUCAUCAAUAAGAAGCAGAGAAGAGUCAGGCUGGAGUGUGCAAAACAUGUACAUUUUAAACAGGCGCAAAUCCAUAAACUGAGAAAUGAGUGAAACUGAAAAUUUUGCUGUGGUCUCUGAUUUUUUUUCCUGAGCUGUAUAAUUGAUAAUGGAAGAACACAAGUUAACAGCUAAGCCUUUAACUGAGUGGUUUUCUGAACUCUUGCUAAAGAGAGAGCAUGUUUGGACGCAUAGGAUGCUGGCAUUGAAAUUUUACAGUUUAUUUAUUUCAACAGAUGCUUUGACCACAGUGACGUAAAAGUGAGGCAGAAAAUACAUAACAAGCAAACAGCUGUCAAUAAGCUAUCAGUGGAGUAUCUAGUAGAUGCCAUUUCAAUGAGCUCUGAAGAUCACCGGUAGUGUAUGUCUAGUAUCUCUAGCAAUAAAUUUCCCAAACACAAAAAGGAUAUUUAGAAUGCAGUGCCAUGCUGUGCUGAUUUCUGGGUUAGCUCUUUUCUUACAUGGCUCGAGGCAGCUCAGCAUGUACCACGUUUGCUUCACGAUUCCAGGGUUCGAACCCUCGCCCUGACCUCUCUUUGGCUGCUCUCCCAUACAGCUUAAGGAAAUUAGCACAUCUGUGCUGUCCAUAAUGCUCAGUUGUGUCUGUCUGGUGAUGGACUGGCUUUCCAUCCAAAGUAUAGCCCUUCUUCGCACCCUGUGCUGCCUGGGAUACACUCCUACAUCCCCACGACCCUUAUGAGGUGAAUAACUGGAAGAACGACAAAUAAUAAGCACCGCGCCUAGGGCUGAGCGACUGUCUCUCUGCAUCGGCUUCCACGUCUGCCAUGCCACAUCUGGUUAUGCACCCCAGCUCUGCAUUUCCAUACCACUGUCAGAAAAGGCUACUCCAAACCCGGAGAGCAGACAUAUCUCAGCACAGCUACAGCCCCACACAUCACUGCCCUUAAAGCCUGCAGUUUUGUUUAAACAUUUUUAUAAACAUGGAAUUGCCAUCCACGUGAUAUAAAAUGCUAUUGAUUGUAAAUUCCUCGAGAUGUGAUGCACAUCCAGCUUUACGGCUUCUCCAAUAUGUUAUUUAAGGUUUUUAAGUUAUUUUUGAGUCAUUUCAGCAUCCUUUUACUUUAUUCAUACAGUGUCACAUAUAUUUAAUAUUUGUUUGUGCAUUUUCUUUCUGCCAAUUUGCUCACU